AGAGUUUGUAACACCCGAAGCCGGUGGCGUAACCUUUAGGGAGCGAGCCGUCUAAGGUGGGACAAAUGAUUAGGGUGAAGUCGUAACAAGGUAGCCGUAGGAGAACCUGCGGCUGGAUCACCUCCUUUCUAAGGAAACAGACUGAAAGUCUGACGGAAACCUGCACACACGAAACUUUGUUUAGUUUUGAGGGGACGACCCUCAAGCACCCUAGACGGGUGCGACUUUGUUCUUUGAAAACUGGAUAUCAUUGUAUUAAUUGUUUUAAAUUGCCGAGAACACAGCGUAUUUGUAUGAGUUUCUGAAAAAGAAAUUCGCAUCGCAUAACCGCUGACGCAAGUCAGUACAGGUUAAGUUACAAAGGGCGCACGGUGGAUGCCUUGGUACUAGGAGCCGAUGAAGGACGGAACUAAUACCGAUAUGCUUCGGGGAGCUAUAAGUAAGCUUUGAUCCGGAGAUUUCCGAAUGGGGGAACCCAGUACACAUCAGUGUAUUGCUUGUCAGUGAAUACAUAGCUGGCCGGCGGCAGACGCGGGGA
rnacentral:misc_RNA from 1 species